rnacentral:ncRNA from 1 species
GUAAAGAAAGUAGAAUAAUCAGUCACAGUUACAAGGCGCUGACGUAUGAAAAACAUGGUAGUUUGCGGAUAAAUCCGAUUGAAUACGUGGAGAUACACAUAGGCUGUAAUGAUUGGAGAAACUAGGAACGACAGGGCAAGAAAGCACAGUGUUUAGAACUAUUUGAAGAAAACUGAACAGGUUGAACCGAACAGCACUUUACCCCUAAGUCAAGAAGUCGUUAAGGGGAAGCACCAACAUACGAGAUAGUCCAGUACUUUAUU